rnacentral:rRNA from 1 species
UCCAGACUCCUACGGGAGGCAGCAGUGGGGAAUAUUGCACAAUGGGGGAAACCCUGAUGCAGCAACGCCGCGUGAGUGAAGAAGCGUUUCGGCGCGUAAAGCUCUGUCAGCGGGGAAGAAAGAAGACGGUACCCGACCAAGAAGCCCCGGCUAACUACGUGCCAGCAGCCGCGGUAAUACGUAGGGGGCGAGCGUUAUCCGGAAUUACUGGGUGUAAAGGGAGCGUAGACGGCGAAGUAAGCCUGAAGUGGAAGCCCGCGGCCCAACCGCGGAACUGCUCUGGAAACUGCGUCGCUGGAGUACGGGAGGGGCAGGCGGAAUUCCUGGUGUAGCGGUGAAAUGCGUAGAUAUCAGGAGGAACACCGGCGGCGAAGGCGGCCUGCUGGACCGUGACUGACGUUGAGGCUCGAGAGCGUGGGGAGCAAACAGGAUUAGAUACCCCAGUAGA